UUGGGGUACGACUCGUUUCA
rnacentral:siRNA from 1 species